rnacentral:rRNA from 1 species
UGAAUACGAGAUGCUACGGCGUCGAAGCAGUCUAUGUCAUACUUCCAAGAAAAGCUCGCACUGUCAUAAACAAAUAAUGCCUGUACCAUAACCGACACAGGUGGGUAGGUAGAGUAUACUAAGGGGCGCGAGAUAACUCUCACUAAGGAACUCGGCAAAAUGACUCCGUAACUUCGGGAGAAGGAGUGCCUUAUUUAUAAGGUUGCAAUAACAAGAUCCAAGCAACUGUUUAUCAAAAACACAGGUCUCCGCUAAGUCGUAAGACGAUGUAUGGGGGCUGACGCCUGCCCAGUGCCAGAAGGUUAAAGAAGUUGGUUAGCAUUCGCGAAGCUGAUAACUGAAGCCCUGGUGAACGGCGGCCGUAACAAUAACGGUCCUAAGGUAGCGAAAUUACUUGUCGGGUAAGUUCCGACCCGCACGAAAGGCGUAAUGAUUUGGAUACUGUCUCGGAGAGGGGCUCGGUGAAAUAGACUUGUCUGUGAAGAUGCGGACUACCUGCACCCGGACAGAAAGACCCUAUGAAGCUUUACUGUAACUUGAGAUUGAAAUUGGACUUUACUUGCGCAGUAUAGGUGGGAGGCGUUGAUAAUAUUCUUGCGGGAUUAUUUGAGCCAUCAGUGAGAUACCACUCUUGUAAUGUUAGAUUUCUAACUUUGUAUCAUUAUCUGGUCAAAGGACAGUUUCAGGCGGGCAGUUUGACUGGGGCGGUCGCCUCCUAAACGGUAACGGAGGCGCACAAAGGUUUCCUCUGAACGGGUAGAAAUCGUAUCUAGAGUGUAAAGGCAUAAGGAAGCUUGACUGUGAGACCUACAAGUCGAGCAGGGACGAAAGUCGGUCUUAGUGAUCUGACGGUGCUGAGUGGAAAGGCCGUCACUCAACGGAUAAAAGUUACUCUAGGAUAACAGGCUGAUCUCCCCCAAGAGUUCACAUCGACGGGGAGGUUUGGCACCUCGAUGUCGGCUCAUCGCAUCCUGGGGCGGUAGUACGUCCCAAGGGUUGGGCUGUUCGCCCAUGAAAGCGGUACGCGAGCUGGGUUCAGAACGUCGUGAGACAGUUCGGUCCAUAUCCGGUGUAGGCGUUAGAAUAUUGAGAGGAGCCUUCUUUAGUACGAGAGGACCGAGAAGGACAUACCUCUGGUGUACCAGUUAUCGUGCCAACGGUAAACGCUGGGUAGCUAUGUAUGGAGUGGAUAACCGCUGAAAGCAUCUAAGUGGGAAGCCCACCUCAAGAUAAGUAUUCUCAU